GACGAACGCUGGCGGCGUGCUUAACACAUGCAAGUCGAACGGAAAGGCCCUGCUUUUGUGGGGUGCUCGAGUGGCGAACGGGUGAGUAACACGUGUGUAACCUGCCCUUGAUUUUGGGAUAACUUCAGGAAACUGGGGCUAAUACCGGAUAGGAGCUCCGGCUGCAUGGUGGGGGUUGGAAAGUUUCGGCGGUUGGGGAUGGACUCGCGGCUUAUCAGCUUGUUGGUGGGGUAGUGGCUUACCAAGGCUUUGACGGGUAGCCGGACUGAGAGGGUGACCGGCCACAUUGGGACUGAGAUACGGCCCAGACUCCUGCGGGAGGCAGCAGUCGGGAAUAUUGCAGCAUGGGCGGAAGCCUGAUACAGCAACGCCGCGAGCGGGAUGACCGCCUUUGGGUUGUAAACCGCUUUCGCCUGUGACGAAGCGUGAGUGACGGUAAUGGGUAAAGAAGCACCGGCUAACUACGUG
rnacentral:rRNA from 1 species